UAGGAAGUAAAACAGCUUCUGGGGGCU
rnacentral:sRNA from 1 species